AAAUCAUGAAAAUCCAUGCAGUGGAACCUUAUUUAUCCAAGUUUGCAGAAAUCAAGUCCAAGAAAAAAAGACAAGUUUCAGGUAACUGGAGUCAUAACUUCGCUUCUAAUGCUCAGAUCAACUUCAUUUUUGUUUUAAAAGUUUCUUUGGACUGUUCUUAAGCUUCCAUUGACAAAAUCAUGAAAAUCCAUGCAGUAGAACCUUAUUUAUCCAAGUUUUCAGAAAUCGAGUCCAAGAAAAAAAGACAAUUCCAAGUAACUGGAGUCAUAACUCCGGUUCUAAUGCUCAGAUCAACUUCAUUUUUGUUUUAAAAGUUUCUUUGGACUAUUCUUAAGCUUCCAUUGACAAAAUCAUGAAAAUCCAUGCAGUGGAACCUUAUUUAUCCAAGUUUUCAGAAAUCGAGUCCAAGAAAAAAAGACAAUUCCAAGUAACUGGAGUCAUAACUCCGCUUCCACUGCUCAGAUCGGCUUCAUUUUUGUUUUAAAAGUUUUUUUGGACUGUUCUUAAGCUUCCAUUGACAAAAUCAUGAAAUUCCAUGCAGUAAAACCUUAUUUAUCGGAGUUUUUGGAAAUCGAGUCCAAGAAAAAAGACAGUUUCAGGUAACUGGAGUCAUAACUCCGCUUCUACUGCUCAGAUCAACUUCAUUUUUGUUUUAAAAGUUUCUUUGGACUGUUCUUAAGCUUCCAUUGACAAAAUCAUGAAAAUCCAUGCAGUGGAACCUUAUUUAUCCAAGUUUUCAGAAAUCGAGUCCAAGAAAAAAAGACAAUUCCAAGUAACUGGAGUCAUAACUCCGCUUCCACUGCUCAGAUCGGCUUCAUUUUUGUUUUAAAAGUUUCUUUGGACUGUUCUCAAGCUUCCAUUUACAAAAUCAUAAAAAUCCAUGCAGUGGAACUUUAUUUAUCCAAGUUUUCGGAAAUCAAGUCCAAGAAAAAAGACAGUUUCAGGUAACUGGAGUCAUAACUUCGCUUCUACUGCUCAGAUCGGAUUCAUUUUUGUUUUAAAAGUUUCUUUGGACUGUUCUCAAGCUUCCAUUUACAAAAUCAUGAAAAUCCAUGCAGUGGAACUUUAUUUAUCCAAGUUUUCGGAAAUCGAGUCCAAGAAAAAAGACAGUUUCAGGUAACUGGAGUCAUAACUUCGCUUCUAAUGCUCAGAUCGGCUUCAUUUUUGUUUUAAAAGUUUCUUUGGACUGUUCUUAAGCUCCCAUUGACAAAAUCAUGAAAAUCCAUGCAGUGGAACCUUAUUUAUCCAAGUUUUCAGAAAUCGAGUCCAAGAAAAAAAGACAAUUCCAAGUAACUGGAGUCAUAACUCCGCUUCCACUGCUCAGAUCGGCUUCAUUUUUGUUUUAAAAGUUUCUUUGGACUGUUCUUAAGCUCCCAUUGACAAAAUCAUGAAAAUCCAUGCAGUGGAACCUUAUUUAUCCAAGUUUUCAGAAAUCAAGUCCAAGAAAAAAGACAAGUUUCAGGUAACUGGAGUCAUAACUUCG